rnacentral:rRNA from 1 species
CACGAAGCUGGAAUCGCUAGUAAUCGCGAAUCAGAAUGUCGCGGUGAAUACGUUCCCGGGUCUUGUACACACCGCCCGUCACACCAUGGGAGUUGGUAAUGCCCGAAGUCAGUGACCCAACCGCAAGGAGGGAGCUGCCGAAGGCAGGACUGAUAACUGGGGUGAAGUCGUAACAAGGUACC